AAUUUUCAGGAAACACCCACCUCUCAUCUCUCUCUCACAACUCUCCUUCUCUCCCUCUCAUAUCUCUCUUCACUCUCUCUUUCACUUCGAGCACACAUACGCACAACCAACAACCACAGGGACUGCAUUCUCAUGACAUUUGGGAGCCUUGCGAACCAGAAACCGUGGAGAAAACCCCUCAUUUACCUCUCCCUCGCACUGGACAGUAGCAGCCACUGUGCUUGUGUCUCUCUGGCGAGUUCUCAGUCUCCGGCGAACACCACCGUCGACCACCACCGUGGUUCGACUUCCUUGAGGCCAGGAACAAACCCCAAACAAGUUUAGGGGCGGCAAAGCAUCGGAGGAGACGGAUCGACAACCACCCAUUUCUAGGGUUCUGACGGUUCGUGAUGGUUUUCAGACCACUUCUCAGCCGAAUUGGACUUCGGCCAGGUAUAAAAGUUGUUCCUUUCAUUGAAAUUAAGCACAAAUCACAUAUUUUUCUAAUCUAUCGUUGUUCUCCGGAGGGCAUUGAUUAUGACAGUAUCGUUGUUCAAAAUCUGAUACCUAUUGAAUUGACAAUGGUUUCUGGCUACGCGGUUGUUGUGUUGGCCGGGAUUAUGAUCUCCACAUGAUGGCAUUGAAUGAUGUGGGUUGUGUUUAGCAACUAGAUGGCCUAUUUGAUCCCACUGAUGCUCAUGAUUUUUCUGAUGGAGAAAGUUUAUGUAAAAACUUGUCUCAAUUGAAUUGUUAUGUGGUUGACAAGUCAAAAUUGGAUGGGAAUUGUCAUAUCAUUGCAUCAAGGGACAUAAGAGAUUUGGAGUACGUCUUUGUCGGAUUGCCCACGUUAAGAUUUCUUGAUUCACUUAUUUUGGAUGAGGAAUCGAUAAACUUUGAUAGGUGACUUCUGCACUUUCGUUUGUUUUCCUUUCAUUUGAUUAUGUUUAUGCCUAGUUACUAGGUUACAUUAUAGUAUUUGAUGAAUAAACUGUGAUUUUGCCUAGUUACUGAUAUCAGAUUCUUCACUCAGCAUUGGCUCCUUACUGAUUAUAAUUUUGUAUCUAAUUUUAAUUUUCGUUUGUCAUUACGAGUAUAAUUGGAAUUUUCAAUUGUGCACCUAUAAAUUUUCUCAAAUAUGCAGAUCGGAUGACUACUACUAGCCUUAAGGAGAUCACUACUCUAGGUCCUUUCACCUCAAGAUCUUUCUUAUACUCUGACGAUUAAGGUGAUGUUGCAUUUGGAAAAUAUAUUCAUGUGAUUUUGCUUUACGUUAUAAAUCGACUAUUUUUCCAUUCGUGUCUGGAUUGCUAACUCUACAACAACAACAACAACAAAGCAUUUUCCCACUAAGUGGGGUCGGCUAUAUGAAUCCUAGAACGCCAUUGCGCUCGGUUUUGUGUCAUGAAUGGAAAAAGAGUUAAUUUAUAACGUAACGCAAAAUCACAUGAAUAUAUUUCCCGAAUGCAGCAACACCUCAAUCGUUAGAGUAUAAGAAAGAUCGUGAGGUGAAGGGAUUUAGAGUAGUGAUCUCCUCAAGCCUGGUACUAGUCCUGAAAAUUUACAGGUGCACAAGUUAAAAUUCCAAUUAUACUCGUAAUGACAAACGAAAAUUAAAAUUAUAUACAAAAUUAUAAUCAGUAAGAAGCCAAUGUUGAGUGAAGGAUCUGAUAUCAGUAACACAGUUUAUCGAUCAAAUACUAUAAUGUAACCUUGUAACUAGACAUAAACUUAAUCAAAUGAUUAUUCAAAACAAGAAGAAGAGACAAAUGAAAGGAAAACAAAACGAGAGUGCAGAAGCCACCUAUCAAAGAUUAUUGAUUCCUUAUCCAAAAUAAGUGAAUCAAGAAAGCUCAACGUGGGCAAUCCGACAAAGAUGUACUCCAAAUCUCUUAUGUCCUCUGAUGCAAUGCCGUGACCAUUCCCAUCCAAUUUGACUUGUCAACCACACAACGCUUCAAUUGAGACAAGUCUUUACGAAAAAUUUCAACAUAAAAAAAAUCAUGAGCGUCAUAAAUGGGAUCAAAUAGGCCAUCUAGCUACUGAAAAUAACCCACUUCAUUCAACGCUAUCAUGUGGAGAACAUAACCCUCAGCCAAUACAGGAACCACAUAGCCAUAAACCAUUGUCAAUUGAAUAGGUAUGCUAUAUUCAAAAUAUAAGAUAAAACAGAGUUAACAAGGAACAACAUUAAUGCAAAAUAGUUAUGUUCAAAUACAAUAAUUUUACACAAAUAAUACAAUAAGUUGUUUACUUACAAAUUUUGAACAACGAUACAGCCAUAAUCAGUGCUCUCCAAAGAACGAUGAUAGAUUAGAAAAAUAUGUGAUUUGUGCUUAAUUUCAUAUAACGCACUCUUGUAAGUAGAAAUAAAGUCACAAGGUGGCUGCCCCCAUAAGGAUAUGAGAUGGCCUUACAUUGCCAACUCGUGAUCAUCCCGAGACAAAGCUUCCUCAGUUAAGGGAGUAGCUCCAGCAAUUAGAUCAGCAGCUACAUUGUCAUUUCCAGUUUUAUAAUGUAUUUCACAAUCGUAACCCAAAAGUUUGGUCACCCAUUUUUGCUGAAAUGGAGUGUGAGCCCUAUUAUGAGAAGAUACUUGAGGUUGUGAUGAUCUGCUCGAAUCAUAAAGUGCCGGCCCUGUAAAUAGUUGUGCCACUUUUUAACUGCAUGUACAAUUGCAACAAGCUAUCGCUCGUAUAUAGAUAAGGAUUGAUUUUGAGGACCUAAUGUUUGGUUAGAGAAGGCAAUUGGUCAGCCUUUUUGCUGCAAAACUACACUGAUUCCUUGCCCUGAGGCAUCACAUUCAAUCUCAAAAGGAAUUGAGAAACCAA